GUUGUAGUGGCCUGCUGCAGUUGGUGCUGUGUUUGGACUUAGUAAUUAUUGGUUUAAUGCAGUAUAAUACUGUUUAUUAUUUGUAUAUUUGUUUUGUUUUAAUAUUUUUAUAUCUUUAUUUUAUAACAAUUCCUUUUCAAUGUCUUAACGACAUUGGCCUAGGCAAUUUUCAUUCAGUGGGUUGUAUAUGCAUGUGAUGAUUAUUUUUGCAGGCAGAGGAGAAAGAGUAGAAUUAUUUAUCUUUUUAUGAGCAAGGUAGGUGUUGUUAUACAAUAUAUUGGGAAGUUUUUCACUUGUUUCUUCAUUCUGUAGUUUACUGAUGAUGGAUGGAUGCCUGAGGGUGUUUUAAUAAAAAUUAUUUUGGAUCAACAAGUAAGCUUGUUGCUGUUUUAUUUGUAUUUUUCUCAUGUUCCCUUCUAUUAAUCAAUAUCUAUAAUACUUCCCAUGCUUCCCUUUUGGAAUUUAUUAGUUCAACAAAGUUUUCUUGAUUACUGAUCUACUAUCACCAUCAUAUAAUUUUUGUUGCUUAAUAUUGAUAUUUGCAAUGGUCCACACAAGUCAAUGUGAAGACAUUGCAUUAGCAAUGUGAAGGUAAUGUAGCUGGAUCUUGGCAGUUUGCCUAAUAAUCAAGGCCUAGAUAAAUUACAAAGACAGUUUUCUUUGUAAUUUAUCAAGGCUUUUUACCAUCUUUCUAUCAUCAUCAUUUUCAAAUAUUUAUAAUUAAUAUGAUCUAACUUAUUGUACCAAAGGUCUCUGCAAAGUUCAUUGGUUUCUAGAGAAGUUUCUGAUCCUAACUGCCAAUAGAUGGUGCUGAAAUUUUUGUUGAAGAUGUCAUUGGAAUGUAUAUUUUUUAACUUAUUUACAUUUUUUCCCCUUUGGUAUGUCUCUUUUUAGACAGACACAAUAAAAUUUCAUCUUUGUAAUUAAUCAGUCUCACUUAUUAAUUUUUGGCAUUUGCUCUCAAUAUGAACAGUCUUGGACUCAGAACACACAAAAACACACAUAAAAGGAACUAUAAAUUACUUUUCUUAUAAUUUUUGAAUUUUUUUCUACCAAUUUUAUCUUAAAAUGCAGUGUGUAUUAUAGAAGAAGCAAAUUAAUGAUGAUAGAACUAAUUGCUACUGAUAUUGAAAAAAUGCACUAAAUGCUCAGACAGAAGAUUGUCCAUUCUUUUUAAGAAAGAAUGGACAAUCAAAUUUACAAGAAAAGAAAGUUGAAAAUGAAAGCUCCAUGAUGGAAACUAUAGUAAAAGCAACAUAUAUUUAAGCUGAAAAGUAUCCCUCACAGAUGACAGACAGUUUACAAGGUAUGAACAAAAUGGAGAUGAUGAUGGAUAAAUUUUAAAUUCCAAAAUUAUUUUUGGAAAAUUAUCAUGCUUGGUCCAUACAUGUAAGAGCUGCCCUGGUGCAAAAGGAAUGCUAGGACUCUGGUUUUGAUAUCAAUAUGAUGAAUGGAGAAAAGAAAAUAAAUAAUCAUGUUUGAAUGUUUUUAUUUCUUGUUUUGAUGAUAAUUAUUUAGAUGAUAUAGGAGAAUGUACAACUACAAAAGAAGUUUGGGAGUCAUUAUUAUGAGAUUCACUCAAAGUGCAGAUUACAUUCUCCAACUGAUGCAUGGUUUUUUCAAUAGUAAAAUGAAGAAAAACAAUGAUAUGAAGAAUUAUUUUGAGGGUCUAAUGGAACUGCAUCAAAAGCUGAUAAGCUGUGGUUAUCGGCUUUUGAUGCAGUUUCAUUGGAUCCCCAAAGUAAUUCUUAAUCAGUGAAACACUAGCCACAGCCAAUUAUUAGGCUUAUUAUAGGCUGUGGUUAUUGUUUCACUGAUUAAGAAGUAACACUAUCCUUUUCUCUUCAGCUAGAAGUUUAGCCUUUUAUUUCUUAGUUGACAGUCCAUCUUCAUCUUGUUUAAGGUUUAGAAUUAACACUUCAUAGGUAUCUGGGUGACUUAUUAAGAGAAAAGAAUAAGACAUUAUGAAGAAGAAAAAGAAUCUUAUUAUGAACAUGAUUCAAAGGAUCUGUUCAUGAAAAACAAGGGCACCUUAUGAGCAUUCAAUCAGCAAAAUGCAUACAAACAACAAGAAAGAAACAAACUUUCAAAAACAAACAAAUACCAAAUGAUGCUGACAAAUAAAAUGUUUUUGCUGCAACAGAUUUGUCCACAUUAUGAAAAACUGUCCAGAGGGUCAGGAUAAUCAAAAUGGAAUGAAUACAUUAAAAAGAUAGUCCAGGAAGUGUUAUGUGUGCUAUAAAUGAAGUGGCUAAAAAACUGAAGAUAUGAUAUUUGGAUAACAAUGCUACUAAUCAUAUGACAUCUAUCAUAAAAAGCUAAUGAAAUUCAAGUAAAUGAUAUCAAGCACCAAAGUAGCAAAUAAGGUUGAAAUACAAAUUAAUGGUAUUGAACAUGCAAAUAUUAAACUAUCUGAAGAAAAUGGGUGAGUAAAUGCUUCCUUACAUAAUGUUUUAUAUGUGCUAUAUUUAUAAAAAUCUCUCAGUCAGCAGAAUUGAAGAAAAGGGAGUAAAUAUCGAUUUUAAACAUUCAUAUAAAAAUGACUUUUAUAUGAAGAUCAACCAUAUUUAAAGUCAAUCUUCCAUCUCUUUUCUUUUUUUUUCUUUCAGCCAGAGUAAUAGAAAGGAAUGGCAAAGUCUUAUUAACAACAGUGUGCAAAGGAAAGCUGUAUGUUGUAGAUGAAUGUAAUCCUACAGUAAAUUUUAUUAAAAUCUUUGACAAAUUUCUUUGAUAUUAACAAUUUGGCUAGUUGUAUCAUGAUGUAGAAAGAAGACUAACAGGAAAUGAUAAGUUAGAUUAAUGAUCAACUGAAGAGCAAGAAAAAUGUUCUACUUGCAUAUUGAGAAAGACAAGAUGGCAAAGUUUUUCAAUAAAUAAAUUUAUGAGAGAUAAGAAACCAAAUCCAAACUCAAAAAAUAGC
rnacentral:lncRNA from 1 species